rnacentral:lncRNA from 1 species
AAACGGGUUGAGGCUCUUGGACUGAGGGUACUGGAGUGGUUUGGUUUUUUUGUUUGUUUGUGUCGUUUUUGUUAAGAUUUGCUUUUCUGGUUGAUGGCCCCUAGGAGUGCCCUCCUCCUACACCAGGACCUCUGGGAUCACAAUCUUCCCUAUGUCGUUCCGCCCCACCCCCACCCUUACCCCACCCCUCUGCCCGCGUCUAAGCGAUUUUUCCAGAUCCUUCUCUAUCCUCAGGACUCCAAGUGGCGAGCCUCCCAAGUCCGGGCCUGCCUCGUGGCCGGCCCUGCUCACCCAGGCCCACAGCGGAAUAGCUGGAGACAGGCAGUCAGAUGUGAAGUGGCAAAGAUCGGCCUCCCGUGAUUGUGCCACAGAUGCCCAUGGUUCCAGGCGUGGGCACCUGAGCAGUGUGGGAAAGAGAGGUCGAGGGAUUGAAAGUGUGGGCCCCGUAGGGACAGUUUCAGCCCAGGUGCACAGAUCGGACACAACUUUGCCCUCCCUGCAGCCUGGCAGGCCCACCGCAAAAAUGCCAUGAGCAGAUUUAUAAGAGCCAUAGACUUGUAAGUGGAGGUGAAUAGGAAGGAAGGUUUUCUCAACCUGCUCGCUGCUCCUAUGAGAUGCCUGUGGAGUUCUGAGUCUGUGUGGCUAAAACCAUGAAGUUCUGAUUACCGGAACAGUGCUGGCUUGAUGGAAGAUCUGUCUGGAGAGGUCCUGACUCUGCCCAGCAGUUUAGUACCCAGUUAUACAGCCUGGUGAGUGCUAUCAGACCUGCCUAUUGUAUUAUUGGCUUUGCGAGUUUUCAUUCCAGUGUAAUGAACUUUUUGUCUCUGUGUGCCCAGCAUGGUGCUGUUCGUGGUCCAACGCAAGUGAUGGCGUUUAAGUAGGCAAUAAGCUAGUUAUUAUAUGGUGCCUGCGAGAUGGCUCAGUGGAUGUUGGUGCUUUUGAAAGUCUUUAGACCUGGGUUUUAUCCCUAACACCCACAGUAUUGAGAAAACCCCUUCAAAGUUGUCUUUUGACAUCCACACUUGUGCCCUAUUAUCCCUCCCAAA